GCAUUGAAAAUAAAAGAUGAGCCAGGCUCCCCAAAAUCCCCCUUGGCAUCUUCCAUGCCGGCCGCCGCGACAUGCGCUUGUCGUCGCUAGCUCGCCACCGCAAUAUGCGCUCCUCUUUCUUCUCUCCAAGAUCCAGCCGCGUACCACUCCACCACAACAGAACUUAACGGGAUUAGCGGGAAGGAAGGACAAAUGGAACCCCAGCCGUGCAUGCAUGCGAGCUCCGACGGAUUUGUGGGCGAUAUGUUUGAAUCUCCAAGAAGCUUCAACGAGGGGCGCUGGUGCAUGCGUUCGGGUUGAAUCUCCAAGAAGCUUCACCGACUUCCCAUUGUUCAGAUCUCGAGAGACCGUAAGUUCAAUUACCACUGAGCAUCCAAAAUGGAUACAAGAUCAGAACAUGGACAAUCACCAUGCGAGUAAACCCUUUUUGUUCCUUGUGAAGUAUUACCUUUCAAUUAUUGAAACAUCAAGUUUCUUGAUGAUUCCAUUCUCUGCAAUUUCCAUUAGACAAGUGGGCUAGGUCCAAAGAUCGGGGAACAAUAUGGCGCUCCAUUUGAGGAAGAGGAAUUGAAUAGACACAAAGAGUGUAUAUUUACUUUUCUUCGAUCAGGACGUUCAGCUCUGCCUCCGCAAGCCGUUCACCCCUGCCACAGGAGGCCGUUCGACGAUGCAGCGCUAUCAUGUUGUGUUUUUUCAGUACAUGUUUUGUGUGCUUUUCAGUUCACCUACUUGAUGAUUCUAUGUCCAAUUUCCCCCCUGUUUACGUGUUCUUCCUAUAGUAAACUAGGUGUUUGUGU